rnacentral:rRNA from 1 species
AUUGAACGCUGGCGGCAGGCCUAACACAUGCAAGUCGAACGAGUGGCGGACGGGUGAGUAAUGUCUGGGAAACUGCCUGAUGGAGGGGGAUAACUACUGGAAACGGUAGCUAAUACCGCAUACCAUCGGAUGUGCCCAGAUGGGAGUAGCUAGUAGGUGGGGUAAAGGCUCACCUAGGCGACGAUCCCUAGCUGGUCUGAGAGGAUGACCAGCCACACGGGAACUGAGACACUGUCCAGACUCCUACGGGCGGCAGCAGUGGGGAAUUGGGCACAAUUGGCGCAAGCCUGAUGCAGCCAUGCCGCGUGGAUGAAGAAGGCCUUCGGGUUGUAAAGUAGUUUCAGCGGGGAGGCGUUACCUGCAGAAGAAGCACCGGCUAACUCCGUGCCAGCAGCCGCGGUAAUUC